rnacentral:misc_RNA from 1 species
UUUCCGUAGGUGAACCUGAGGAAGGAUCAUUAAAGUUAUAGUCCCCCGGCCCCUCCGGGCUGGGGUCUUCUAUACCACCCUUUGUUUAUUACACCUUUGUUGCUUUGGCAGGCCUGCCCUCGGGCUGCUGGCUCCGGCCGGCUCGUGCCUGCCAGAGGACCUAAACUCUGUUUGUAUAUGAAGUCUGAGUACUAUAUAAUAGUUAAAACUUUCAACAACGGAUCUCUUGGUUCUG